rnacentral:rRNA from 1 species
CCUAGUGGUGAUAGCGGAGGGGAAACACCCGUUCCCAUCCCGAACACGGAAACACCCGUUCCCAUCCCGAACACGGAAGUUAAGCCCUCCAGCGCCGAUGGUAGUUGGGGCCAGCGCCCCUGCAAGAGUAGGUCGCUGCUAGGC